AUACGUAGGUGGCAAGCGUUGUCCGGAUUUAUUGGGCGUAAAGCGAGCGCAGGCGGUUUCUUAAGUCUGAUGUGAAAGCCCCCGGCUCAACCGGGGAGGGUCAUUGGAAACUGGGAGACUUGAGUGCAGAAGAGGCGAGUGGAAUUCCAUGUGUAGCGGUGAAAUGCGUAGAUAUAUGGAGGAACACCAGUGGCGAAGGCGACGCUUUGGUCUGUAACGGACGCUGAGGCUCGAAAGCGUGGGGAGCAAACAGGAUUAGAUACCCUGGUAUGCCACGCCGUAAACGAUGAGUGCUAAGUGUUGGAGUGUUUCCGCCCUUCAGUGCUGCAGCUAACGCAUUAAGCACUCCGCCUGGGGAGUACGACCGCAAGGUUGAAACUCAAAUGAAUUGGCGGGG
rnacentral:rRNA from 1 species